AGAGUUUGAUCAUGGCUCAGGACGAACGCUGGCGGCGUGCCUAACACAUGCAAGUCGAACGCGCAGCUUUUCCGCCGCAAGGCGGAGGAGCGGGCGCGUGGCGAACGGGUGAGUAACACGUGGGCAACUUGCCUCUGGAUGGGGAAUAACCCCGCGAAAGCGGGGCUAAUACCGCAUAACAUUCCGAUGACCACGGUUGUCGGAAUCAAAGUCCGCAAGGACGUCCGGAGAGAGGCCCGCGCCCGAUUAGCUAGUUGGCGAGGUAACGGCUCACCAAGGCGAUGAUCGGUAGCCGGUCUGAGAGGAUGGCCGGCCACACUGGGACUGAGACACGGCCCAGACUCCUACGGGAGGCAGCAGUGGGGAAUCUUGCGCAAUGGGCGAAAGCCUGACGCAGCGACGCCGCGUGGGGGAUGAAGCCCCUCGGGGUGUAAACCCCUUUCGACCCGGACGAAACGCCGACUUGUCGGCACUGACGGUACGGGUAGAAGCAGCCCCGGCUAACUACGUGCCAGCAGCCGCGGUAAAACGUAGGGGGCCAGCGUUGCUCGGAAUUACUGGGCGUAAAGGGUCCGUAGGCGGUGCGGUAAGUCGGAAGUGAAAUCCCGGGGCUUAACCCCGGGGCUGCUCCCGAAACUGCCGCGCUUGAGUGCGGGAGGGGCGAGUGGAAUUGCCGGUGUAGCGGUGAAAUGCGUAGAUAUCGGCAGGAACACCGGAGGCGAAAGCGGCUCGCUGGACCGCGACUGACGCUGAGGGACGAAAGCUAGGGGAGCAAACAGGAUUAGAUACCCUGGUAGUCCUAGCCCUAAACGAUCAGGACUGGGCGUGAGCCCCGUUCGGGGUUCGUGCCGAAGCUAACGCGUUAAGUCCUGCGCCUGGGGAGUACGGUCGCAAGGCUGAAACUCAAAUGAAUUGACGGG
rnacentral:rRNA from 1 species